rnacentral:rRNA from 1 species
AGAGUUUGAUCCUGGCUCAGGAUGAACGCUAGCGGCAGGCUUAAUACAUGCAAGUCGAGGGGCAGCGGGGGUAGCAAUACCUGCCGGCGACCGGCAAACGGGUGCGGAACACGUACAGAACCUUCCUCUGAGUGUGGGAUAGCCCGGAGAAAUCCGGAUUAAUACCACAUAGUAUUUUGGAGUGGCAUCACUUUAAAAUUAAAGAUUUAUCGCUUAGAGAUGGCUGUGCGGCUGAUUAGGUAGUUGGUGUGGGUAACGGCCCACCAAGCCUUCGAUCAGUAACUGGUGUGAGAGCACGACCAGUCACACGGGCACUGAGACACGGGCCCGACUCCUACGGGAGGCAGCAGUAAGGAAUAUUGGUCAAUGGACGCAAGUCUGAACCAGCCAUGCCGCGUGAAGGAUGAAGGCCCUCUGGGUUGUAAACUUCUUUUAUAGGGGACGAAAUGCAGUUAUUCUUAAUUGUUUGACGGUACCCUAGGAAUAAGCACCGGCUGACUCCGUGCCAGCAGCCGCGGUAAUACGGAGGGUGCAAGCGUUAUCCGGAUUCACUGGGUUUAAAGGGUGCGUAGGUGGGCUUGUAAGUCAGUGGUGAAAUCUCCGUGCUUAACAUGGAAACUG